rnacentral:rRNA from 1 species
GAUGAACGCUGGCGGCGUGCCUAAUACAUGCAAGUCGAGCGAACAGAUAAGGAGCUUGCUCCUUUGACGUUAGCGGCGGACGGGUGAGUAACACGUGGAUAACCUACCUAUAAGACUGGGAUAACUUCGGGAAACCGGAGCUAAUACCGGAUAACAUAUUGAACCGCAUGGUUCAAUAGUGAAAGGCGGCUUUGCUGUCACUUAUAGAUGGAUCCGCGCCGUAUUAGCUAGUUGGUAAGGUAACGGCUUACCAAGGCAACGAUACGUAGCCGACCUGAGAGGGUGAUCGGCCACACUGGAACUGAGACACGGUCCAGACUCCUACGGGAGGCAGCAGUAGGGAAUCUUCCGCAAUGGGCGAAAGCCUGACGGAGUAACGCCGCGUGAGUGAUGAAGGUCUUCGGAUCGUAAAACUCUGUUAUCAGGGAAGAACAAAUGUGUAAGUAACUGUGCACAUCUUGACGGUACCUGAUCAGAAAGCCACGGCUAACUACGUG